UGGCCAAGCCCGUGUGAAGCCCUUUCGACGAGUCGAGUUGUUUGGGAAUGCAGCUCUAAAUGGGUGGUAAAUUUCAUCUAAAGCUAAAUAUCUGCCGGAGACCGAUAGCGCACAAGUAGAGUGAUCGAAAGAUGAAAAGCACUUUGAAAAGAGAGUUAAACAGUACGUGAAAUUGUUGAAAGGGAAGCGCUUGCAACGAGACUCGUUCGCGGGUGUUCAACCGUCCCCCGGGGCGGUGCACUCUCCCGCGUUUCGGGCCAGCAUCGGUUUUGGCGGCCGGAUAAAGGCCCUGGGAACGUAGCUCUCUUCGGAGAGUGUUAUAGCCCGGGGUGUAAUGCGGCCAGCUGGGACCGAGGAUCGCGCAUUCGCUAGGAUGCUGGCGUAAUCGUUGUCAGCGACCCGUCUUGAAACACGGACCAAGGAGUCGACCAAUCUGGCAAGUUUUAGGGCGUAAACCCCUGAAGCGCAAUGAAAGUGAACGUAGGUGGGAGCCUUCGGGUGCACCAUCGACCGAUCCUGAUGUCUUCGGAUGGAUUUGAGUAUGAGCCCGGCUGGUCGGACCCGAAAGAUGGUGAACUAUGCGUGAAUAGGUAUGUCGAAAAUUUAAACUCUUGAUAAUUAAGCUAACUGUUACAUAGGGUGAAGCCAGAGGAAACUCUGGUGGAGGCUCGCAGCGGUUCUGACGUGCAAAUCGAUCGUCAAAUUUGCGCAUAGGGGCGAAAGNCUAAUCGAACUAUCUAGUAGCUGGUUCCCGUCGAAGUUUCCCUCAGGAUAGCAGCAACGAAAACAGUCUCAUGAGGUAGAGCAAACGAUUAGAGGUCUUGGGGUCGUUAUCGACCUU
rnacentral:rRNA from 1 species